UUAUCUUUGCUUCAAAAAAUCAGAUGAGAAGAUACUUCUUCUAAUGCAUCUAUCUUUUUAUCAUUUGGAACAUUUCAUCACCCACAAAAAAGAGAUAAAAAGAAGGAAACCACCUGCUUAUUCCAUUUGAGGCAAAUUUCUAUGUUGAUUCAACCACUGUAGAUGUUUUCAACAAAAUAUACUUGUCUAAAUUCUCUUUAAUUUGUGGCAUAUCCAGAGAUUCCAUCCUUAGUGUACUCCUCAAGCUUUUACUAGCAUACGACUGAACAACUGUUAAUACUGUAGGUCCAAUCUCAACUCCUCCGAUUUUCUCUUGGACGAGAUAAAAUCAGAUGAUUGAAACAGACAUCUACUUUUUUGCAGGUUCAAGCAUUGAUGAAAAUGUGUAAACAGUUUCAUGCUAAGUAGGCCGUGACUAUUGGGAUAGGGGUAAGGUCCACGUACACUCUACCCUCCCCUGGCCCCUCUUUCUGGGGUUAUACCGAGUACAUAUUGUUGAAAGUCUUUGACUUCACAUUUCCACAUCAAGGUUUCGGGAAAAUAGAUUACGAUGAUUAUCAAGUAUACAGAAAGAAGUCCUGUGAGCCAAUGAAUAAAGGGUUGGCACUAACUGUAGCUUAGAUAGGUCAAUGUAGAAGGUAUUCUAGAUAAAAGGGAUUCUUACACAUCAGAUACUUUUGUUGUAUUACGGCAUAGAUUCCUCCUGUAGUUUUUGUUUUCACUAGAAUAUAACUGCAAGAUUUGACAAAUGGUGUCCCUCCACCUCAUCCGUGUGGACUAGCAGUAUUCGCAAACGAAAAAGGUGUCGAAGCAAGUGAUCUAAAAUGGUUCCCUCGUUUGGUAAUUUUCAGAUGCUUUCAGAACUACAACUCUUCACUCAAAAGUAGUUAAUCUCGGAAUGACAAACUUCUCGCCUUAAUAAGAUGUAAACUGGAAAAAAGUCGUUGUGGAGAUGUCCUGCUUCUCUAUGAGAGUGCUUACAAUGCAUCAAUUAUUCUGGAAACGGAACUAGCAGCAAAUCAAGAUAGCCAACUGUUUAAUGCUGAAUAAAGUAUAACUCAUCCAUCUGGACAAAUAUACCGUUGAUAUUGGUUUUGGAAAGAGCUUUAGGGUCAAAAACUAGUCAGUUUCAUGCUAGUUGAUUUCAUUUAAUUACUUGUUAGUUACAACAAACAAUAACACAGCAAUAAUAGUAUAGGAGUACACGAGAAAAUAAGUACAUAAACCGCAUAUAAGUUAGCUAGUGA
rnacentral:lncRNA from 1 species